UUAGUUAUGCAAGUUGGUAGGGGAGCAUUCUAUUAUAGGGAGAAGCAUGACCGGAAGGACAUGUGGACGAGAUAGAAGAGAGAAUGCCGGAAUGAGUAGCGAGAAUUAUGUGAGAAUCAUAAUGGUCGAAAACCUAAGGUUUCUUGAGGAAGGUUCGUCCGCUCAAGGUAAGCCGGGAGCUAAGGCGAGGCCGAAAGGCGUAGUCGAUGCACAUACGGUAGAAAUUCCGUAGCCACCGAAAUUGUUAAACACAGGGACGCAGGAACAUAAUCCAACCGCACCGAUGGUCGAGUGCGGCGAAAGGGAGCGAAAAUUAAGUAGCGAAGUGGAUGAUUGUACACUGACGAGAAAAGCUGUGUGGAUUGAUGAGGUGCCCGUACCGUAAACCGACACAGGUGGGUGAGGAGAGAAUCCUAAGACCAGCGGGAGAAGUGUUGUUAAGGAACUCGGCAAAUUGACCCCGUAACUUCGGGAAAAGGGGUGCCUGCUAGCGCAGGCCGCAGAGAAUAGGCCCAAGCGACUGUUUAGCAAAAACACAGGUCUCUGCUAAAUCGAAAGAUGAAGUAUAGGGGCUGACGCCUGCCCGGUGCCGGAAGGUUAAGAGGAGGACUUAGCGCAAGCGAAGGUCUGAAUUGAAGCCCCGGUAAACGGCGGCCGUAACGAUAACGGUCCUAAGGUAGCGAAAUUCCUUGUCAGGUAAGUUCUGACCCGCACGAAUGGCGUAACGAUUUGGGCACUGUCUCAACAACACACCCGGUGAAAUUGUAGUACCGGUGAAGAUGCCGGUUACCCGCGACUAGACGGAAAGACCCCAUGGAGCUUUACUGUAACUUGAUAUUGGAUUUUGGUAUUGCAUGUACAGGAUAGGUGGGAGACUGAGAAGCACAGACGCCAGUUUGUGUGGAGUCAAUGUUGGGAUACCACUCUUGUGAUACUGGAAUUCUAACCUGCGGCCGUGAAACCGGUCGGGGGACAAUGUCUGGUGGACAGUUUGACUGGGGCGGUCGCCUCCUAAAGAGUAACGGAGGCGUUCAAAGGUUAGCUCAGUACGGUCAGAAAUCGUACGAAGAGUGCAAACGCAAAAGCAAGCCUAACUGCGAGACGAACAGGUCGAGCAGUGACGAAAGUUGGAGUUAGUGAUCCGGCGGUAAGAGAGUGGAAUUGCCGUCGCUCAACGGAUAAAAGCUACCCUGGGGAUAACAGGCUGAUCUCCCCCAAGAGUCCAUAUCGACGGGGAGGUUUGGCACCUCGAUGUCGGCUCAUCGCAUCCUGGAGCUGGAGUCGGUUCCAAGGGUUGGGCUGUUCGCCCAUUAAAGCGGUACGCGAGCUGGGUUCAGAACGUCGCGAGACAGUUCGGUCCCUAUCUGUCGCGGGCGCAGGAAAUUUGAAGGGAGCUGUCCUUAGUACGAGAGGACCGGGAUGGACGUACCACUGGUGUACCAGUUGUCUUGCCAAAGGCACGGCUGGGUAGCUAAGUACGGAAGGAAUAAACGCUGAAGGCAUCUAAGCGUGAAGUCCCCCCUAAGAUAAGAUUUCCCAUUCUUUAAAAGAAGUAAGACCCCACGUAGACUAUGUGGUUGAUAGGUCGGAGGUGUAAGUGUGGUAACACAUUAAGCUGACCGAUACUAAUAGGUCGAGGGCUUGACC
rnacentral:rRNA from 1 species